UGUAGGCGGUGCGGUAAGUUGGGCGUGAAAUCCCCGAGCUUAACUCGGGUGGGCCGUUCAAGACUGCCGUGCUAGGGUGCGGGAGAGGGAAGUGGAAUUUCCGGUGUAGCGGUGAAAUGCGUAGAUAUCGGGAGGAACACCUGCGGCGAAGGCGGCUUCCUGGACCGUAACCGACGCUGAGGCGCGAAAGCUAGGGGAGCAAACAGGAUUAGAUACCCUGGUAGUCCUAGCCCUAAACGAUGAGCACUGGGUGUGGCCCCUCACGGGGCCGUGCCGAAGCUAACGCAUUAAGUGCUCCGCCUGGGGAGUACGGUCGCAAGGCUAGAA
rnacentral:rRNA from 1 species